rnacentral:rRNA from 1 species
GACUCUCGACAACAGAUAUCUCGGCUCUCGCAUUGAUGAAGAACAUAGCGAAAUGCGAUACCUGGUGUGAAUUGCAGAAUCCCGCGAACCAUCGAGUCUUCGAACACAAUUUGCGCCCGAGGCCACUCGGCCGAGGGCACGCCUGCCUGGGCGUCA